rnacentral:misc_RNA from 1 species
GAUGAAGAACGCAGCGAAAUGCGAUACUUGGUGUGAAUUGCAGAAUCCCGUGAACCAUCGAGUCUUUGAACGCAAGUUGCGCCUCAAGCCAUUAGGUUGAGGGCACGUCUGCCUGGGCGUCACAUAUCGUUGCCUGAUGCCAGUUUCCUCGUGAUGGGUGACUGUGCAGGGCGAAUGAUGGCUUCCCGUGAGCAUUGUUGCCUCAUGGUUGGUUGAAAAUUGAGUCCUUGGUAGGGAGCGCCGUGAUAGAUGGUGGUUGAGUGACGAACGAGACCCAAUCAUGUGAGACCCCUACCGAAUUUGGCCUUCAUGACCCACAUGCGCCUUUGGAACGCUCAUGACGAGACCUCAGGUCAGGCGGGGCUACCCGCUGAGUUUAAGCAUAUCAAUAAGCGGAGGA